GUAUAUAUAGCUCAAGUGGUAGAGCACAUGCUUAGCAUGCACGAGGUCCUGGGUUCAAUCCCCAGUACCUCCU
rnacentral:tRNA from 1 species